UAAACGGUCCUUUUCAGGACCAGAUAAAGUUAUUCCUUAAGAGUUAU
rfam:Aedes albopictus isolate Foshan contig17505, whole genome shotgun sequence.